rnacentral:rRNA from 1 species
UACAGAGGUCUCAAGCGUUGUUCGGAUUCAUUGUGCGUAAAGGGUGCGUAGGUGGCGCGCUAAGUCAGGUGUGAAAUUUCGGAGCUCAACUCCGAAACUGCAUUUGAUACUGGCGUGCUUGAGGACUGGAGAGGAGACUGGAAUUCACGGUGUAGCAGUGAAAUGCGUAGAUAUCGUGAGGAAGACCAGUGGCGAAGGCGGGUCUCUGGACAGAUCCUGACACUGAGGCACGAAGGCCAGGGGAGCAAACGGG